GUUUUAAUAGCUUAAUUUUUAAAAGCGUCGGCCUUGUAAGUCGAAGACCGGAGGUUGAAAUCCUCCUCAAAACA
rnacentral:tRNA from 1 species